rnacentral:tRNA from 1 species
GCCCUUAUAGUUUAAUGGUUAGAACGUAGCUUUUUCGUAGCUUCGGCGAGAGUUCAAUUCUCUCUAAGGGUA